rnacentral:rRNA from 1 species
AUACGUAGGGGACGAGCGUUGUCCGGAAUUACUGGGCGUAAAGGGCGCGCAGGCGGAUAUUUAAGUCAGCUGUAAAAGGCAUGAGCUCAACUCAUGUAUGCGGUUGAAACUGGGUAUCUAGAGUGCUGGAGAGGUAGGCGGAAUUCCCGGUGUAGCGGUGAAAUGCGUAGAUAUCGGGAAGAACACCAGUGGCGAAGGCGGCUUACUGGCCAGCAACUGACGCUGAGGCGCGAAAGCCAGGGGAGCGAACGGGAUUAGAUACCCCGGUAGUCCUGGCAGUAAACGAUGUAUGCUGGGUGUGGGAGUAGCGAUACCUCCGUGCCGAAGUUAACGCGAUAAGCAUACCGCCUGGGGAGUACGGUCGCAAGAUUGAAACUCAAAUGAAUUGGCGGGG